UCUUCUUCUUCUCCUACGCCUUGCUGCUGCUCCUUCUUCCCUCGCCUUGCUGCUGCUCCUUCUUCCCUCGCCUUGCUGCUGCUCCUCCACUUCUCAACUCGAACCAGCUGCUCCUCUCCUCAAUCUCUGCUGCUGCUAUUCUCUAAGCCCCUCACGCUGCUGCUGUUCCUCUUCUUUGCCACGCCUCUGCUGCUUUCUUCUCCUCAAAACUGCUGCUGCACCUUCUCCCUAAUUCCCCUCUUCUCCUAACCUUGUUGUUGUACUUUUCUGAACCCCUACUACUGCUGUUUCCCUCAUUAUCUUUCUCUGAAUUUUCUGUAAGCUGAGAUGUGUUAUGCUUUGUAAUGUUCAGAUUUGAGUAGUGCUUGACACUUGUUCAGUUUCAGACUUGUGCUUGAUUAAUAGUACUUAUGUUUUUCAUCUCAGAGUACUAGAAUUAUGUCUUGUAACCUCCCCCUGUUUGCAUAUGUGUGAUGUGUGUUCUGUAGUGUUUUUGUUAACUUUGUUCAUGUGAAAACAUAUAUGUUUGUGUUGUGAUAUAUUUUUUCCCUAUCAUAUUAGCUUGUUUCUUUCCUUCUGUCAUUGCUAGUUAUAUAUGUGUGAGUGUUUGUGUUGUGAGAGUUGUACUGUUACAUUGUGACUCUCAUUUAGAAUGUAUGAGUACUAGCUAUAUAUGUCAUAUAUAUUAUGUUCAUGUAUGAUAGUUAUAUGUGUUCUUGUCUAGCAGGUUUCCCUAAUAUUGAUUCUCGUUUGUGUUAGUGUUUUAGUUUCUCAAGAAUUACAAAA
rnacentral:lncRNA from 1 species